rnacentral:piRNA from 1 species
UCCAUCCAUAGAGUGUCCUUUAUAGAGAGA